UUACUGGGAGCCAAGUGCUUGAAAGUUCAACAAUAUACUUAUACUAUUCAAAUGGUGGUGGUAGCAAUUUCCAAGAGCUAAAACCCUAAAAUAUGAUUAACUAUUGCACAAUGGGUAGUGAGAAUAUUCAUAAGGUGUCUUAGCCCUAGCAGAGCCUGGUUUCCCAGGCAAUUGGUUAUUACAGACUGGUUCUUUCCAUCUGGGCAACUGCUGCUCAUCUCUAGAUAAUACUACCUUUGAGCUGAUGGUCAAGAAGCUUAUACAUAAUCUGUAAAAUUUGUAGUGCAGACCUAGAGCAAGAUUUGACCAAAGUGUUAUUUUUUCCCAUUACAGCAUAGGUUUGCCACAAAUAACACUAACCAGCUGGUUGUAGCCAAGUAUGUUCAGUAGGCUUUAAAACAUGGAGAAAUCUGGGGUAAAGACCGAAGAAGAUGGAGAAUUAAUGUGUCGGACGAUGUGGCUGAAAUCUAAGAGUACUAUCUUCCAGCCUGUCUGCGAUCACCCGGCGGCGUGCGCGCGAGCUCCCGGCCUGCACGGGAGCUCCCGGCCUACAUGGUGGGAUCAUU
rnacentral:lncRNA from 1 species